rnacentral:rRNA from 1 species
AGUGAACGCUGGCGGUAGGCCUAACACAUGCAAGUCGAACGGCAGCACAGUAAGAGCUUGCUCUUACGGGUGGCGAGUGGCGGACGGGUGAGGAAUACAUCGGAAUCUACUUUUUCGUGGGGGAUAACGUAGGGAAACUUACGCUAAUACCGCAUACGACCUACGGGUGAAAGCAGGGGAUCUUCGGACCUUGCGCGAUUGAAUGAGCCGAUGUCGGAUUAGCUAGUUGGCGGGGUAAAGGCCCACCAAGGCGACGAUCCGUAGCUGGUCUGAGAGGAUGAGAAGACAAACUGGAACUGGGACACGGUCCAGACUCCUACGGGAGGCAGCAGUGGGGAAUAUUGGAGAAUGGGCGCAAGCCUGAUCCAGCCAUACCGCGUGGGUGAAGAAGGCCUUCGGGUUGUAAAGCCCUUUUGUUGGGAAAGAAAAGCAGCAGGUUAAUACCCCGCUGUUCUGACGGUACCCAAAGAAUAAGCACCGGCUAACUUCGUG